ACUCACCUAUUUGUUUUUUCACUGAUCCCUUUCCAUUCUGUCGCUUCCUUGUGGCCAUCACCUCUUUCUCCUCACUCUGACAGUUGUGGAAGUGAUUCCCAGAAAGGAAGAGCACAGGUCUGA